ensembl:lncRNA
CCUGCGAGCGGGCUGUGACCGCGACCCCGUCUCCUCUCCCCUGCCCUCCCCUCCAGUGGUCAAGCCAGGUCCCUGAGCUGCAGAGCGCCCUACCUGCCCACUCCACCCUUCUUACCUUUCGGAGCUGUAGCCGAGGGCAGUGGCGGAGACUGCCCUCUCCAACACCGUUUCCGAAAACCAGGGUGCUGGCGUUUCUGGUUUUGCAAGGCAGUUCCUAUUGCCCAACUCCCCCAAGAUCGGAGCAGCCAUCCAUUUUACAUUGUUUUAAUUUGAUCUCUUCCUCUUAUUUUGUAACCCUCUCUUAUUUUGUUAUCUCUUCUCUGUAAGCCAUCUAAAGACUCCCUGGCCUUGCUACUGCAGUCCAAUUGGCUUACUUUAUGUGGCAACGAAUCACUAGUUAUUUACUUCGAACCAAACAUAUUCUUAUAUUGUCCCCCAUAAGAUAAGAGCCGCAAGAUAUCUCAAAUACAAAGAAGAGGUUACACCACUUAUGUUCAACCUUAGGUUGAAAAUUCAUAGAACUUGCUCUGGAGCACUUUUCCUUCCUUCCUGCUUUUCUCAAGAUUCCUUGGGAGAGUUCAAGCAAAUAGAGUGGAAACGUUUUCACGGACUUGUAGGAGACAUAUAAUCCCAUUAGGUGUUAUUUUACUGAAGUGUACAUUUUGACACCACAUCAGGUUUUAUGGUAUUUGUGUUUUAAAUACAUUCCCCUGGC